CCUGGGGAGAAUCUGCUCCUCACUGCCUUCGAAGUGGUUGGGGUGACCUUGGGCUGUGGUGAAAGUCCUAAAGAAAAAUCCAGUCUUUUGCUUGAAGCCUCUGUGCCGGCAAACUCCCCGUGCACCUGAUCAUUGGGCGUCCUCAACCACAGUCGCUACACCAGCUAAUCGUUGAUGUGAAUGAGCAAUGGGUUUGCACACCUGAGGGACUCGGCAACCUCGGAGCCGCAGCGAGUUCAAGCGUUGUGGAAUCUCAGCCGGCCUCAGGUAGCUUCAGCUCUGCAGCCCGUAGGAAUCCUCGAGGAUGUAACUCAGAGCAAAGCCUUGGAGCAUGUAUGAAGAAAGUGUAUUUUCUUUCCUCUUUUCUUGCCCAACUCCUUAAACUCACUCCACAUGUCUCACAAGAGACCUUUUUGAGGAAGUUACCAGGAAAGUGGAUGAAGGCAAGGUAGUGGAUGUUGUCUACAUGGACUUUGGUAAGAACUUUGACAAUCUCCCACAUGGUCAACAAGGCAUUCAAGAUGAAGCAGCAAAUUGAUUUAAACAUUGGCUUUGUGGGACAAGCCAGAGAGUGGUAGCCUCUCUGACUGGAGGCAUGUGACUAGUGGAGUGCCUCGAGGUUCAGUACUGGCUCCAUUGUUAUUUGUCAUCUUUAUCAACAAUCCGGAUGAUAUCGUGGUUAACUGAAUCAGCAGAUUUGUGGAUGACACCGAGAGUUGGGGUGGGGAAGACGUAUUAUGGCUCACAGUGAGAUCUGGGCCAGCUGGAAAAAUGGGCGGUAAAAUGGCAGAUGGAAUUUAUUGCAGACAAGUGCUAGGUGUUGUACUUCGGUAGGACCAACCAGGGUGGGUAGAGCACUGGGGAUCUGGGAUAUUGGUCCAUAAUUCAUUGAAAGUGUUGUCAUAGGGUCAUAAAGAAAGCUCUUGACACAUUGCCCUUCAUAAAUCAAAGUACUGAGUAUGGUAGAUAGGAUGUUAUGUUGGUUUGUAUUAGACAUUGGUGAGGGCUAAUUUGGAAUAUUGUGUGCAGUUUUGGUCACCUACCUACAGGAAAGAUGUAAAUAAUAUUGAAAGAGUACAGAGAAAAUUUACAUGGACGUUGCUGGGUCUGGAGAACCUGAGUUAAAAGGAAAGAUUGAAUAGGUUGGGACUUUAUUCCCUAGAAUGUAGAAGAUUGAGGAGACCCUGACAGUGGUGUACAAAAUUAUGAGGGGUAUAACCUGUAAGCAGGCUUUUUCCACUGAGGUUGGGUGAGGCUGCAACUAGAGGUCAUGGGUUAAGGAUGAAAGGUGAAAAGUUUAAGGGGAGCAUAAGGGGAAAUUUCUUCAUUCAGAGGGUCGUGAGAGUGUGGAAUGAGCUCCCAGUGCAAGUGGCAUAUGUGAGCUCGAUUUCAGUGUUUAAGAGAAGUUUGGAUAGGUACAUGGAUGCUAGGGGUAUGGAGGGGUUUGGCCAAAUCAAAUCAAAUCAAGGUUUAAUUAUCAUUCAACCAUACAUGAAUACAGCCAAACAGAUCAGUGUUCCUCUGGAACCAAGGUGCAAAACAUACACAGCUCAUUCAAAAUAGCAGGCAAAAAACAUUGUCACACAAAAAAAAAACAUAUGUAGCCCAAGAUCCUGAGUGACAGGACCCUCAAUGUGAUGAUGCAGUGCACAGCCACUGCAACCUAGCCUAUCGUUCCACCAAUUGAACACUAGAGGGCAGCACUGAUGGGAGAGGCCAACCCCCAAUUGAGAACAGACACCACUCCCCACCACCUCCUCUCCUGGACUGCAGCAGCAGGCAAAUGUAGCCCUUUUGCUACGCAGCUUCUCUGCGCCUGUCAUACCACCAAACAAGGGGAACAGGCUUGUGGCAUCUUAUAUUAUCAAUGUCCAACAGGGUCUUGCAAUCGCAAGAGAAAUGUCCAGGACAAUCAUCCACAGUUACGUUGCAUGCUGCUUUGUGCAUGAACUCUGAUCUCAAGCAGGCAGCAGCUCAUCUGCACCCAGUCCAGCUCCUCCGAAUCCAGUCCAGCUCCUCCGACGCACCAGCCGCCUCUGCUGACCCAGUUCAGCCACUCCGAUCAUCGAGCAGCUCACUGAUGGAACAGACCUUCAGUACCCAGUCUUUAGAGUCCAGCAUUGUCUUGCGACCAUAAAAACCACAUUUAACAAAGAAAUAAAAACACCUUUGCUUGGCCCCCGAGAGGCUGCUGUGUCCAAACGCGCCACCAUCUUACCAGAAAUUCCCAGUGCCGGUUGAUCGGAGUAAGCACAGACUAGAUGGGCUGAAGGGCCUGUUUCUGUGCUGUACUUUUUUAUGACUCUACAACAUGACAGAAUCAGCCAUCAAGUGACUUUGAGAGGGAUUAAGACUGGAUUUUUAAAAAUGACUUAUUUUUAAUUUAAAGAUCCCUCUGCUAAUUCUUCUUGUAUUUGAGAUCAUGUUGGUGAGUCCUACACCACAAGACCUAGACUGGUACUGGGCAAGACGAUUGGAGCUGCCCUCCCUGGUGACCAUGUCACACCACUACGUGAGGAAAACCAAGCAAGUUCUCCCAGCCGUCCAAACUGGCAUGAAUUCUCCAUCUUAAUAUAAUCAGGAUCACAUUGUUUGUGGACCAGUGCUGUGAGCUGCCACCUGACCACACUGUGAGUGAUUCACUGGCUCCAAAGUGCUGUAAGGUGCCUUGAGAUUGUGGUAGGUACCGUACUGAUGCCAGCUCUGUUGUCAGUGCCAGGCUUUUGUCACAGCUGUCUCCUCUGAGUGUGUACCAAAAAUUAAUUUCAUUAUCAAAGUAUGUAUGCAGCAUGUAACUCUGAGCUUCCUCUUCUGCAGACAGUCAUAGAAUAAAGAAAACCAUAGAAGUAGUUGAAAGAAAAACAUCGAUCACACCCAUCACAAGAAAACACAAAAACUCACAAACCCCACACACCCGCCUCGCACAAAAACAAACGGAUCACCCAAGCCCCCAGUUCGCCCGUCGGCAACAAAAAAGAAUGGGCGAGAACGCAAAAAAAAAUGGAACUGAAAAAGGCCGAUAUGAACCACAGAUUGUGGAACCACUGAGGAAGUACUUGGAUGUCUCCUGCAGCAAGGAAAUCCUAUCCUGCAGGAGCGCCCACCCUGCGCGGCCCUGUGGAUGACCAAUUCCAGGCCGGUGUUGCUGACUGAGGCAUCGUGGGAGAAAGAACAUCAGGAUUUUGCUGCGGUGGAUGUAUGAAUGGAGGUCUCGGUAGUCGGGUGAUUGCUCUCUCUCUGUUUCUCUCAAUUAUACAAGAGUUUGCUGCCGAUUCUCGAGUCAGAAGCCUCAGAAUGAAAAGGCUACCAAAGGCUGUUGCACAGUACUGUAGUAAUUUUAUGCAUUGCGCUGUACUGCCACCACACAAAAAAAAACAAAUUUUAUGAUAUAUGUAAGUGAUGAUAAACCUGAUUUUGAUGUGGGUAAUUCCUCCAGCAACUGCAGAUUUUCUCUUGCUUCUGAUUUGAGUGUCUAUUUUGUACUGAGAGUGGGAAGGGUGCAGGGAGGGGGGCAUCAUGGUUGGGUUAAGGGGAAAGUAAGGGGAAAGGAGAGGAGAGGGUAUCAGGAAGCACCAGAGAGACAUUCUGUAAUGAUCAAUAAAUCAAUUGUUUGGAAUCAAAUGACCUUGUCUGGUGUCUCAGGACUGGAUGUGUCUGCACCCAUACCACCCCCCAUCCCUGGCACUGCUCUGCCACCUGUCCCACACAACCCCACCCUCGCCAAUACCCUUUGCUCCCAACCAGAUUUACAAAGUCACUCUCUGCUUCAUGUUGACAAAUACAGUACAAAAGUCCUAGGCACCCUAGAUAUAUACACCCCCUCCCCUCCAAGUAUCUAUCACUCGCCUACACACUGGCAGCAAUAUAGUGGUCAGUUAAUCCAUCAACCCAACUGUCCUCGAGAGGAAGGCAGAGCACCAGGCACACAGAUACCACACUGCAGAUCAAGUUUUGGACCAUAGUCUGGAGCUGAGAGGCAGCAGCUGGGCCAGUCCACAGCGACAGAUUGCACCUUCCACAACUCGUGAAUUCAAUUGAAUUGAAUUGACUUUAUUGCUUACAUCCUUCACAUACACGAGGACUGAGAAUCUCCAUCUAAAUGUGCAAUGUGCAAUUUAUGUUCAUUUGUAAUAAAUUGUAUGUACAAUACAAUAGUCAAUAUAGCAUAGAAAUGCAAUUGCAUCAGCAUGAAUUACUCAGUCUGAUGGCCUGGUGGAAGAAGCUGUCCUGGAGCCCGUUGCUUCUGGCUUUUAUGCUGUGGUACCGUUUCCCGGAUGGUAGCAGCUGGAACAGUUUGUGGUUGGGGUGACUCGGGUCCCCAGGCAGCUGCAUCACUGGUUCAGAAAUUGCACCAUCUCGAAUCGCAAGACCCUGCAGCUGUCAUGGUCCUGGCUGGCAUUCCCCACCUUUUCCCUUUCCUCCCUAAUUGGUCCUUAAUCCCAACACUUGAUUCCCAAUCUUUCCCAAUUCCUCUCAAUCACCAGCACCUGGUUUGCAUUAACCACCAGAGGAUAACUCUGACAGCUCUGGUUAGCCCUUGCCAGAUUGUUGGGGGGGUGAGUGAAAGGCAGGAGGGAGAGAGGGAGAGGGAGGGAGAGAGGGAGGGAGAGGGAGGGAGAGAGGGAGAGAGAGAGGGAGGGGGAGAGGGAGAGACUCAGCCUGGUCCAGAUUCUCCACUUGCUGUGGAGAUUCUGCCUCCUGAUCCUGCCUCCGUGAUGGAGUCCUGCACUUGGGUUUGUUUUCCUGCCAUGUCUGUGUCACAGCAGCGUUAGGUGAGGUGAGCUGAGGUGAUCAUCGGGGUCUCUCUUCCUGCCAUUACGGACAUUUCCACUACACGCUGCAUCCGCAAAGCAUUAUGAAGGACCUCACAUACAAACUCUUCUCUCUGCUGCUGUCUGGGAAAAGGCACCAAAGCAUUCGGGCUCUCAUGGCCAGAUUAUGUAAGUUUCUUCCCCCAAGCUAUCAGACUCCUCAAUACCCAGAGCCUGGUCUGACACCUUACUGCCCUACACCUUACUGUUUAUUAUUUAUUCUAAUGCCUGCACUGUUUUGUGCACUUUAUGCAGUCCUGGGUAGGUCUGUAGCCUAGUGUAGUUUUUUUUUCUGUGUUGUUUUUUAUGUAGUUCAGUCUAGU